UGACAGAAAGUUCAUAGAUGUUUGUCCUCAA
rnacentral:piRNA from 1 species